rnacentral:rRNA from 1 species
GGCUUAGAGUUUGAUCAUGGCUCAGGAUGAACGCUGGCGGCGUGCUUAACACAUGCAAGUCGAGCGAAGCACUCCAUCAGAUUUCUUCGGAUUGAAGAUGGUUUGACUGAGCGGCGGACGGGUGAGUAACGCGUGGGUGACCUGCCCCAUACCGGGGGAUAACAGCUGGAAACGGCUGCUAAUACCGCAUAAGCGCACGGAGCUGCAUGGCUCAGUGUGAAAAACUCCGGUGGUAUGGGAUGGGCCCGCGUCUGAUUAGGCAGUUGGCGGGGUAAAGGCCCACCAAACCGACGAUCAGUAGCCGACCUGAGAGGGCGACCGGCCACAUUGGGACUGAGACACGGCCCAAACUCCUACGGGAGGCAGCAGUGGGGAAUAUUGCACAAUGGGGGAAACUCUGAUGCAGCGACGCCGCGUGAGCGAAGAAGUAUUUCGGUAUGUAAAGCUCUAUCAGCAGGGAAGAUAAUGACGGUACCUGACUAAGAAGCCCCGGCUAACUACGUGCCAGCAGCCGCGGUAAUACGUAGGGGGCAAGCGUUAUCCGGAUUUACUGGGUGUAAAGGGAGCGUAGACGGUGAAGCAAGUCUGGUGUGAAACCCCGGGGCUCAACCUCGGGCCUGCAUUGGAAACUGUUUUGCUUGAGUGCCGGAGAGGUAAGCGGAAUUCCUAGUGUAGCGGUGAAAUGCGUAGAUAUUAGGAGGAACACCGGUGGCGAAGGCGGCUUACUGGACGGCAACUGACGUUGAGGCUCGAAAGCGUGGGGAGCAAACAGGAUUAGAUACUCCUGUAGUCCNCGCUCGCCAACGAUGAAUGCUAGGUGUUGGGAGCAAAGCUUCUUCGUGUCGNGCAAACGUAUUAAGCAUUCCNNU